AAACCUAAACGUGACGUCAAUGCCUAGUAACUGACGCAGCCCUUUAAAAAAGAGAGAGAGAGAGAGAGAGAGAUUCUGCAAGAUUUAAUUAUCAUCGUUUGUGUACUGCUCUCAAGACAAAACAUAUUCCGCUCGCAGUGCAACUGAUUAUGGUUGUUUGUGCGCGUGAGCCCGCGUAUGUCUCUGUGUGAGUGCGUGCGUGAGUGCGUGCGUGUGUUUUCUUCUUUAUGAGCAGCGAAUCCGUCCCGAGUUUCCAAGCGAAAGUUGCAUGGAGACACCGCGUAAGACGCGUAUAAUAAAGAGGACGGUGAGCGACAUAAAGGAACGAGGAGAGCGGGAACAACUCUAAGAAAGAGACUCUCAAGCGAACGUUAGAAAUAUUUAGCCCAUAUAGAAGGGCACUGAAGCAGUUCGUUUGAAAAAAAAAAAAAAAAGAAAAUCACUGCAGCGAUGCAUCGGAGGCGAGUCGGAGCCCUCGCAUGGAGUUGGAGAGGCAAAAUUAAUGUACAUUACAUGCACUCCACGUAACGCUCCUGAGCGAUGUCUUUCAAGGGCUCGCUGCACUGGGCAGGACAAAACUUGAGGGAUCCAUCAUGUCAAGAACAGAAGGUGAAACGAACGGUUCGUGUCACAGAACGCUCCCAAGUCGUGACGUCACCGUCUUCACAUCUGUGCAAAAGCGAGCUGUGAAGCUGAACCGACUGCGUUCCUCAUGGAAGGACAAGGACGGCUGACAGAAAUGGAAGUUGUCGGAGGAAAAAGAGGGAGUUGACCAAUAAACGAGGCCUCAGUCGUGAUAAAAUCGUGAUGAGGUCCUACGGUUAAUCGUCUGAUCCAGAACUUUCACAUGUGAGAGGGAAAAAUAAAAAAGGUAUGAUAAAUCUGGGAAAACUUUACUUUGUAUCCUGCCCAGAAGAUCAACUUCAAACCAACGUCUGUUAGAAUGCUUUACACCUGUUAAUGGAUAUUCAGCAAGUUAAUUUCUUUUUAGGGACACAAUAACACCGUCAGGUAUUUGCUAUAUUUGUCUGUAAACUAUCUGGGUUUUAAUUAAUGAGCUGGACUUUGCUUACGUUGUCACAUCCAGACGUCUGUCACGUGUGAGCUGCGUGAGACCUAAUGGGAUAUGAAAAUGAUAACGUAUAGAGUGUUCGAGCUACUAAAAAA